GCCUAAAUAGCUCAGCGGUAGAGCACUUCCUUGGUAAGGAAGAGGUCCCGAGUUCAAGUCUCGGUUUAGGCU
rnacentral:tRNA from 5 species